ensembl:lncRNA
UGGCAAGCUCUGUCCUUACUUCUUUCCCUGGUCUUUUCUUUAAAAAAAAGUUAUUUGGUGGAGGGUUGACGCACUGUUAGUUUAGCGGUAUUGGAGUUGAGGUGGAGGAGUUUCUGCUCACGGUCGGUGAACAGGACCUGCUGUGCUGGGACCGCCUCUGAUUGGCUGGCCCAGCUGUUCCCCCACGGCCAAGGAGAUGAGUGACAGGUGACUUCCCCAAACAGAGGUCCUGCCGCUGCCAUUCUGUCGGUUGAGUGACAGCCCCUGCAGUGGACGGCUCCCUACUGAUGAUUCUGGGCAUGGCAUCAUUAGUGUCUCUGCGAAACAGCUGUUCCUGAUUCCUGGUGCCCACAAAUGAAGCAUUUCCCACUAACCAGUGUAAAUACAAUGAGGUUGUGUGGAGAUGCCACCUGCGUUGACAGCCAAUCAUCUGCUGCCUGAGUGACAGCAAGAGGCUAAGUGGUCAGAGGAACAGCAACGGCGCUCCUAUCCCUUACUAUCACGCGACAGAUGGCAGGCUUCAGAUGCACGUUGGCUGUUGUGGGAUCUCUGGGAAUCUAGGAUCGGCUCUGGGAUCUGUGGGAAUGCAGUAGACAUCAGUAGAAGGGUGUCUCCGAGGAACAAGAGGAGCGGGCCUACACAUGUAGCUAAUGGAAUACACUGCCUCAGACACCUGAGGGCAUCCUCGGGCAACACACUGGCACCAUGCCAAGAGGAAUCAAAAGCUGUCAUAAUUCUGGACCACAGGUAGACCUAGACACAGGCAAACACAGGUAGACACAGGCGUGAAGACUGUGUUUCAGCUAGCUUUCUAUCUUUUUUUUGGUCAAGCGCUGGUUUUAUGUAUGUUAUCAUAUCUGGGUCAAAACAUAAUUGUUUUGUUGUUGUGACUCUCUGCUCUUCAGGCAGGCUGCAUGUCAGCGCAAAGGUGUAAGAUGUUUUAUUCCGUUUUAGCGGCCUCAAGGAUUUUUGAGAGCCACAAAAGAUAUUUCAAUGUGUCAAAUUAUUAAAAUGAGACCAUAUUUUAUUCUGUAGUCACCCCGUUGUCGGGGAUUGGUGACCACGGGGCAUUUUAAUUAUUGCGGUGCGAUUUUUUUUCUGCUAAAUCUGAUUAAGGAGUGUGUUUCUUAUUCUGGGGAGAUUAGCCAUCUGGUAGAGGGACGUGGGGAGAGAGGGAAUUUCUC